rnacentral:rRNA from 1 species
CAAUGGCGUAUAUUAAAGUUGUUGCAGUUAAAAAGCUCGUAGUUGGAUUUCUGAUCGAGACAUCAGGUCGGGUCCGAGAGGAUCAUGUACUUUGAUUUUGUUUUGAUCAUCCUUGGGGAGAGCAUUUCUGGCAUUCAGUUGUCGGGAUUGGGAUCCUCAUCGUUUACUGUGAAAAAAUUAGAGUGUUCAAAGCAGGCCUCGGCCUCUGAAUACAUUAGCAUGGAAUAAUAAGAUAGGACUUUGGUGGUCUAUUUUGUUGGUUUGCACGCCAAAGUAAUGAUUAAUAGGGAUAGUUGGGGGUAUUCGUAUUCAAUUGUCAGAGGUGAAAUUCUUGGAUUUAUGGAAGACGAACUACUGCGAAAGCAUUUACCAAGGAUGUUUUCAUUAA